GUCCACGUAGCUCAGCUGGAUAGAGCACUCGCCUCCUAAGCGAGGGGUCGUGCGUUCGAAUCGCAUCGCGGACG
rnacentral:tRNA from 1 species